UCUGAAUCCCCUCUACAAAAUCUGCCUCCUACUAGAUCAUCACUCGUCCUCCCAAAUUCAAGCCAAGUUGCACUCGUCCCACUCUCGCCUAGGCCCCUACGCACAUGUGAGAGAAGUGUCUUGUGACGUUCAUGCUAGAAAUAGGGAAAAACCAAACACAUCGAGGAUUGGCGAGAAAAGGAAGGAUUGCAAUGAGGAAGAGGUGCAGCUUCUGGUGCCAAAAAUUGGGAGAGUUCAGGGUAUCAUAUACCCUACCGCCGGUAGAGUUUGGAAGCUGUCAAAAUGCAUCAACACAGAUCUGCAACGACUAGUUCUAGAGGGCAUUCUCCAAGAGCAGGAUGUAGUCGAAUGGCAUAUGUACCUGGUAAAGAUGCCUUUCCCUUUGAAAAUACCAAUGAAGCUAUACUUUUUGUGCAUUUUAUUGAAUGGGGAUCCCCCUCUAACUUUUUUCGUGUCCUCCAUUUAUGUAAGCUCAAACUUAAUCAUCUGAAUCCAAAUUCUAAUGUCCAUAUUUCCAUCUUUGUCUACUUCUGUGAAGCCUUUCUGGGUAUCUAAUUUCACUUCAGUCUUUGUUAUCUUUUUUAUCUCAAACCCCAACCCGAAGCCGACAACCCCAAUGUAGUCAGAGGAGCUAGAUUUCUAGUGCUACUGAAAAGAUCCUCGAGUCCCCGAGGCAAGGGGUGAAGAAACGAGUGGCCGGGGAUGAUACUAUACUGGGUAGCGUGUCCCCAGUGUCAGUGGACCCGAUGCGAACAACAGCUAGCAUACCUGUAUCUUUCAGUACUUUGGGCAGUGCUCCAGCACUCAAGGCCUUGAAGGUGCCGAAGAAACUUAUUAUGAAGAUCCACUCAGUAAACUACCUUGCAGAAGAUCUCCGAGUAGUAUUAUGUUCUCCUCCUCUCUAUUCUAGGCCUGAAAGAGUCUGGCGCCUAAGCCGGUACUUGGAGUCAAGACCCUUCAUCGCAGCCUCAGGUUGCUUGGACUACUUCAACCCCUGAACAGGAGAAAACAACAGAUGAUGCAUCGUUGCCAGCGGGAAGCAUGGCUGUACCCGCCGAUUCCACACCACUAGCACCUAUGGAGCCCCCUGCGCUCACCCAGAGGUUAAAGUCAUUGAUGUCAAAGCGGGCAUAGCAAUCGUGUGAGAUGAGGAUGUUUCUUGCUUCAAUUUAAAGUUUCUUCUGGGUGUGAUUGCAUCUU